GCCACAUCACACUGUAACACCGGUUCCCGUACGAUCACCGAAGUUAAGCAACGUCGAUCCCAGUCAGUACCUAGAUGGGUGACCACGUAGGAAUACUAGGUGUAGUA